GACGAACGCUGGCGGCGUGCUUAACACAUGCAAGUCGAACGGAAAGGCCCUGCUUUUGUGGGGUGCUCGAGUGGCGAACGGGUGAGUAACGCGUGAGUAACCUGCCCUUUACUUUGGGAUAACUUUAGGAAACUGGGGCUAAUACCGCAUAAGAGCUCCUGCUGCAUGGUGGGUGCUUGAAGGGUUCGGUGGCUGGGGUUGGACGUGCGGCUUAUUUGUUUGUUGGUGUGGUUGUGGUUAACCCAGGCGUUGGCGGGUAGCCGGCCUGGGAGGGUGACCGGGCACAGUGGGACUGGGAAAGGGGCCAGACUGCUACGGGAGGCAGGGGUGGAAAAUAGUGCAAAAUGGGCGGAAGCCGGAUGCAGCAACGCCGCGUGCGGGAUGACUGCCUUCGGGGUGGAAAGCGCUUUCGCCUGUGACGAAGCGUGAGUGACGGUAAUGGGUAAAGAAGCACCGGCUAACUACGUG
rnacentral:rRNA from 1 species